AAAAUUAGAGUGUUCAAAGCAGGCAGAUCCAAUUUUCUGCCACCGAAUACAUUAGCAUGGGAUAAUGGAAUAGGACCCUGUCCUCCUAUUUUCAGUUGGUUUUGGCAGCGCGAGGACUAGGGUAAUGAUUAAUAGGGAUAGUUGGGGGCAUUAAUAUUUAAUUGUCAGAGGUGAAAUUCUUGGAUUUAUGAAAGAUUAACUUCUGCGAAAGCAUCUGCCAAGGAUGUUUUCAUUAAUCAAGAACGAAAGUUAGGGGAUCGAAGACGAUCAGAUACCGUCGUAGUCUUAACCAUAAACGAUGCCGACCAGCGAUUAGGAGACGUUGAAUACAAAACACCACCAUCGGUGCGGUCAUCCUUGGCGUCGGUUUCGGCCGGCGCGGGGGUGGCUUAGCCCGGUGGCACCGGUGAA
rnacentral:rRNA from 1 species